rnacentral:rRNA from 1 species
CGGUAAUUCCUGCUCCAAUAGCGUAUACUAAAGUUGUUGCAGUUAAAAAGCUCGUAGUUGGAUUUCUGCGGGGACGGAGCGGCCGGUCGCAACUUGCGACUCGAGCUAGCGCUUUCCCCGCAUCCUGCCGCGAACCGUGCUACCAUUAGUUUGGUGGCGCUGGGGAUCGGCUCGAUUACUUUGAGAAAAAUAGAGUGUUCAAAGCAGGCCACACGCCUUGAAUAAGUUAGCAUGGAAUAAUGACUAAGGACUUCGGUUCUAUUUUGUUGGUGUUCGGGACUGAAGUAAUGAUUGAUAGGGACAGUUGGGGCGGUCUGUAUUCCAAAGCGAGAGGUGAAAUUCUUAGACCUUCGGAAGACAAACAGCUGCGAAAGCGUUCCGCAAGGAUGUUCCCUUUGAUCAAGAACGAAAGUUGGGGGAUCGAAGACGAUCAGAUACCGUCGUAGUCUCAACUAUAAACUAUACCAGCUAGGGAUCGGUCAACGUUUAAUUAUUCGACUUGAUCGGCACCUUAUGAGAAAUCAAAGCAUCUGGGUUCCGGGGGGAGUAUGGUCGCAAGGCUGAAACUUAAAGGAAUUGACGGAAGGGCACCACCAGCCGUGGAGCCUGUGGCUUAAUUUGACUCAACACGGGAAAACUUACCAGGUCCAGACAUAGUAAGGAUUGACAGAUUGAUAGCUCUUUCUUGAUUCUGUGGGUGGUGGUGCAUGGCCGUUCUUAGUUGGUGGAGUGAUUUGUCUGGUUAAUUCCGUUAACGAACGAGACCCCAGCCUGCUAAAUAGCGCGGCUGAGCUUUGCUCGGUGCGAGCUUCUUAGAGGGACUAUGAUGCGCGAUAGCACAUGGAAGUUUGGGGCAAUAACAGGUCUGUGAUGCCCUUAGAUGUUCUGGGCCGCACACGGGCUACACUGGCGCCUGCAACGAGCAUAUCAGCUGGCCCGAGAGGAUCUUGGCUAAUCUUUUGAACCGGCGCCGUGCUUGGGAUUGACCUUUGCAAUUGUUGGUCAUGCAACGAGGAAUGCCUUGUAAACGCGAGUCAUCAGCUCGCAUUGAAUACGUCCCUGCCCUUUGUACACACCGCCCGUCGCUCCUACCGAUGAAUGUUCCGAUGAAAUUUUCGGAGAGCGCCAGAGAACGGGGCUCCGCCUUGCAGAUCUGGAGGCUCAAAGUCACUUAAAUCUGAACAUUUCGAGGAAGGAGAAGUCGUAACAAGGUAACC